rnacentral:tRNA from 1 species
GGGGCUGUAGCUCAGCUGGGAGAGCGCAUGAAUGGCAUUCAUGAGGUCGUGGGUUCGAUCCCCAUCAGCUCCA